GCAUAAUGCAUGGUCACAUUUGACUAACAAUUGCUUGAUUUUUCGCCAUGUGUUACAGGAUGCCAUUGAAUCAGGACGAAUUACGUUCGAUGACAGGAAGAAGAUGGCGGUGGAUGAAAAUCCUUUUCCACAGCCACUUGGAGUGAAUAUGGUGACGUCUGGUUUCAAAAACAAGUUGCCAAAAUUCAAAUUGGUUAUAGAUGAUGGAGAAGAAGACCCUGGACCACAUCCCAGUGUUUUUGAGCGUAUUAAAGGGAAGGAGUCUAAGAAGGAUGAAGACGUCUUGUGUGCAAGAUGUAAAGAGAAGUGAGUGGGGAUACGGAAAAAUCAGGGAUAUGGCAACAUCCCCAUCUCCCUACUCUCCUCCCAAACGCUCGGCUUGGUAGAGGGCGAGGUACAUUGUUCUACAAGGGACCGCCUUUUGAGAGGUAGUUCAGGCCAGUAGCUAAUGGGAGAACAUUCAGGCCGCAACCUCACCGACCAAAUGUAUGGCAUUCGUUCCAGUAUAAUAAAGGAAGGGCAAUACCCUUCGAUGAGAUGACUAGAACCCAACAAAGGCGUUUCCAAUGAAACUAUGGACGAAUGAUAAGGCAGCAACAGGGAGUGCCACAUCCUAAAGUGCCUAAACUACUCAAGGUAGCCAAUCAAAAUGUUCUCAAAGAUAGUGAAGAGAUCGGUACAGAUGAAUCAAUGAAAGAGCUGCCAGAAAUUUCUUUUGGGAGAUCGAAGUUUGAGCGAGGCAGAAAGGAUGAAGAAGAUCCAGAUCAGCUCCUUACUAUUUAGUUCGGUACGUUACCUCCUGUUGUGGCUAAUAAUUAUUUACUGGCCAAUGAGUUCACGAAUAAAGAGAAAGAAGAAGAAGAAAUAGAGGGUAACGAAGGAGAAGCAUGCGUGCUGGAAUAUGAAGAAGGCCAGACUUCUAGAGAGGCCUACAACGGUGAGGAAGAUGAUGGUAUGGCAGACAUUGAAGAGGAAAUCGAUCUGGAAGCAGAAAGGAAAAGAAGAGGAGUAUCGCACAAUACUCUGUUGAAGCAACUACAUUGAGAGGGAGUUCGUGAAGUAGACUUACUGGGAGAACCAUCUGGGCGUCCUUUCGAUUUUUACGUGCUGUACGGGACGCCCAAAAGGAAGAAGAGAGUGCCUCGUUCUGAAAAGUAUGGAUCGCCUCCAAAAAUAAUGCCUCCUCCCACAGGUUGGGUAAUUGAAGAGGAAGCAUCAGAAAACAGUAAAAGGGAAGCAUCAGAAAACACUUUAUUUCUAACUGUGCAGGGCGAACUAAAGUCUUUUCGCCACUUUUGAAGCUGAAAAAUCAGGACGAAUUCGUCUGGAAAGAAGAACAUCAAAUGACUUUUGAAAGCCUGAAGACAUAUUUAUCAAGUCCACUAGUGUUGGUGUCACCAAUCCAAGGACGGCCAAUGAAAGUGUAUGUCUCGACUGAAAAAGAAUCAAUAACUGGAAUGGUCGCGCAAGAAGACUAAUUUGGUGAAGAGAGGGCGAUUUACUACUUGAGUAGACGGUUAACAAAAUGUGAAUGUAAUUAUUCUGCUAUCGAAAAAUUAUGUCAUGCGUUAUACUUCACAUGUACAAAAUUAAGGGCUUAUUUACGGCCCGUAACCGUUUAUUUGAUUCCUAGAGUAACUUUGAUUAAGUAUAUGUUCUCUCGCCAUAUUUUACACCAAAGGGUAGGCCUUUGGACAUUAGCUUUAUCAGAAUUCGAAAUACAAUACAUACCCCAAAAGGCGGUCAAAAAUCAGGCUUUGACUAACUUUCUAGCCGAUUAUCCAUGCCUUGACAUGCAUGAAGAAAAUUGAAUUAGAAAUCAAUUCGUUCGAGCGAAAACCUUGGGUGUUGUAUUUCGAUGGGUUAAAAACCUCUAAAG
rnacentral:lncRNA from 1 species